rnacentral:rRNA from 1 species
UACGUAGGGAGCAAGCGUUGUCCGGAUUUACUGGGCGUAAAGAGCGUGUAGGCGGCCAAGCAGGUCCGUUGUGAAAACUGGAGGCUUAACCUCCAGACGUCGACGGAAACCGCGUGGCUAGAGUCCGGAAGAGGAGAGUGGAAUUCCUGGUGUAGCGGUGAAAUGCGCAGAUAUCAGGAAGAACACCAAUGGCGAAGGCAGCUCUCUGGGACGGUACUGACGCUGAGACGCGAAAGCGUGGGGAGCGAACAGG